GACGAACGCUGGCGGCGUGGAUUAGGCAUGCAAGUCGAACGGUAUCAUCCUUUCGGGGGUGAGAGAGUGGCGAACUGGUGAGUAACACGUAGGUUAUCUACCCUCAAGACGGGGACAACCCAGGGAAACUUGGGCUAAUACCGGAUGUGAGCAACUUUUAGUUGUUUGAAAGGUGGCGUAAGCUGUCGCUUGGGGAUGAGCCUGCGUCCUAUUAGUUAGUUGGUGAGGUAACGGCUCACCUAGGCAAUGAUAGGUAGGCGGCCUUAACGGGUGGUCGCCCACACUGGGAUUGAGAUACGGCCCAGACUCCUACGGGAGGCAGCAGUCGAGAAUAGUCUACAAUGGUCGGAAGACUGAUAGUGCGACGCCGCGUGAACGAUGAAUCCCUUCGGGGUGUAAAAUUCUUUUAUAUGUGAGCAGUGCUUCUUAUAUUAACAGUAUGGGGAGAGAGAUAUUAGCAUAUGAAUAAGCAACGGCUAACUCCGUGCCAGCAGCCGCGGUAAUA
rnacentral:rRNA from 1 species